rnacentral:snRNA from 1 species
GGAUGUGAGGGUGAUCUGGCUGCGACAUCUGUCACCCCAUUGAUCACCAGGGUUGAUUCGGCUGAUCUGGCUGGCUAGGCAGGUGUCCCCUUCCUCCCUCACUGCUCCAUGUGUGUCCCUCCCAAAGCUGCGCACUCGGUGGAAGAAGAUGACCAUCCCAGAUAGAAGGAGUGUACCAUUCUUUGGUCAAGGGUAUACGAUAGCUGAACUCCCCUGCUAGAACCUCCAAACAAUAUCAAGGUCCAUUUGUAGGAGAAUACUUCCUAUAAAUUCCUCAUUCUUAUUGAUUCUGGUUGCCUCAACGUAAU